GAUGAAGAACGCAGCGAAAUGCGAUAAGUAAUGUGAAUUGCAGAAUUCAGUGAAUCAUCGAAUCUUUGAACGCACAUUGCGCCCGCCAGUAUUCUGGCGGGCAUGCCUGUCCGAGCGUCAUUUCAACCCUCGAACCCCUCCGGGGGUCCGGCGUUGGGGAUCGGGAACCCCUAAGACGGGAUCCCGGCCCCGAAAUACAGAGGUGGUCUCGCCGCAGCCUCUCAUGCGCAGUAGUUUGCACAACUCGCACCGGGAGCGCGGCGCGUCCACGUCCGUAAAACACCCAACUUCUGAAAUGUUGACCUCGGAUCAGGUAGGAAUACCCGCUGAACUUAAGCAUAUCAAUAAGCGGAGGA
rnacentral:misc_RNA from 1 species